UGAGCUCAAGGCCAGCCAGGGUGUACUACACAAUAAAACCAAAGACUUGGCCAAAUGAUUUGUUCUGAGUGGCUCUAGAGACUGAGCUCUCAAGAAAAGGCUGCUCACAAAUAAAACCAGAUCUCCAUCCCAGCAGAUAUACAAACUGCAAUAGAGACACAGGUGCUGAAUGGUUAAGAGCACUGGCUGCGCUCUUUCGAGUCUUGGCUCCAAGAUGACCAAAAAAAGAAGAAACAACGGUCGUGCCAAAAAGGGCCGUGGCCAUGUGCAGCCCAUUCGCUGCACGAACUGUGCCCGGUACGUGCCCAAGGAUAAGGCCAUCAAGAAGUUUGUCAUUCGGAACAUUGUAGAAGCCGCUGCUGUCAGGGACAUAUCUGAAGCAAGCGUCUUCGACGCCUACGUGCUUCCCAAGCUCUAUGUCAAGCUGCAUUAUUGCGUGAGCUGUGCCAUCCAUAGCAAGGUCGUUAGGAAUCGAUCCCGAGAAGCCCAGAAGGACCGGACACCCCCACCACGAUUCAGACCUGCUGGCGCUGCACCUCGACCUCCACCAAAGCCCAUGUAAAGAGGCCGUUUUGUAAGGACAGAAGGAAAACUACCCUGGAAAAAUAAAAUGGAAGUUGUACUUU